rnacentral:tRNA from 1 species
GUAGCUUAGCCUGGAAGAGCACAAGACUCUUAAUCUUGGGGUCGAGGGUUCAAAUCCCUNNGCA